rnacentral:rRNA from 1 species
CAUGCAAGUCGAGCGCGCCUUCGGGCGAGCGGCGGACGGGUUAGUAACGCGUGGGAACGUGCCCAGAUCUACGGAAUAGCCACUGGAAACGGUGAGUAAUACCGUAUACGCCCUUCGGGGGAAAGAUUUAUCGGAUUUGGAUCGGCCCGCGUUAGAUUAGGUAGUUGGUGGGGUAACGGCCUACCAAGCCUACGAUCUAUAGCUGGUUUUAGAGGAUGAUCAGCAACACUGGGACUGAGACACGGCCCAGACUCCUACGGGAGGCAGCAGUGGGGAAUCUUGGACAAUGGGGGCAACCCUGAUCCAGCCAUGCCGCGUGAGUGAAGAAGGCCCUAGGGUCGUAAAACUCUUUCGCCUGUGAUGAUAAUGACAGUAGCAGGUAAAGAAACCCCGGCUAACUCCGUGCCAGCAGCCGCGGUAAUACGGAGGGGGUUAGCGUUGUUCGGAAUUACUGGGCGUAAAGCGCACGUAGGCGGAUUAGAAAGUUAGAGGUGAAAUCCCGGGGCUCAACCCCGGAACUGCCUUUAAAACUACUAGUCUAGAGUUCGAGAGAGGUGAGUGGAAUUCCGAGUGUAGAGGUGAAAUUCGUAGAUAUUCGGA